AAGCAGCGGAGCAUGUGGUUUAAUUCGAAGCAACGACGAAGAACCUACCAGAUCUGACAUCAAUUGACUAUCUUUUAAUCGAGAUUUUGCCUUCGGGUACAAUUGAGACAGGUGGUGCAUGGUUGUCGUCAGCUCGUGUCGUGAGAUGUUGGGUUAAGUCCCGCAACGAGCGCAACCCUUGUGUUUAGUUGCAAACAGGUCAAGCUGUGCACUCUAGACAGACUGCCGUGGACAACACGGAGGAAGGUGGGGAUGACGUCAAAUCAUCAUGCCCCUUAUGAUCUGGGCUACACACGUGCUACAAUGGCCGGUACAACGGGCAGCGAAGGAGCGAUCCGGAGCGAAUCCUAAAAAGCCGGUCCCAGUUCGGAUUGCAGGCUGAAACUCGCCUACAUGAAGUUGGAGUUGCUAGUAAUCGCGAAUCAGAAUGUCGCGGUGAAUGCGUUCCCGGGUCUU
rnacentral:rRNA from 1 species